rnacentral:lncRNA from 1 species
AUGGCGCCCUGCAUGCUGCUCCUGCUCCUGGCUGCCAUCCUGGCUCAGACCCAGACCAUGCUCACACUCCCUGAGGUAUUUCCACACUGAGAUGGCCAGGCCAGGCCUCAGGGAUCCCUGGUAUAUAGAGUAGUCAGCUAUAAGAAAAUCUGCUACAUGGACGGCUAGGACAUGGAUACUCUGAGAUAUGAGCUGCGUGCAUGGUGAAGGGAACAGGUGGGCCCGGAUUGUUGAGAGAUAGAUAUGCAAAGAGGGCUGAGGACAGCCAGGGAACCUUCAGGCUCUGUUUGGCUACUACAUACAAAGUGAAGAGGCUAAGUUUCUGCGAGUCAGAAGCCAAGUCCCCAAGGGUUCUAAGGUUCUGCAGAAACGGAAACCAUGAGGGGUCUCCCAUUUAUUUUAAGGAAGGACACGGGAGGGUGGGGCUGCUGAUUGAGGUUGAACUUUGAGGACCUAGCCAAGCUCUCACAACAUCCAAGCUAAGUCUGGCUGUGAUGUGGAUUGGAACAGGCACCUCCUUUGCAGGUAUGAGCAGUUUGCCUAGGAUUGCCACAAUUACAUCACACUGAACAACGAUCUGAAAACAAGGACAGCGAUGGACACAACACUCAUCCUGGAUGGCAGUACUCAUCAUCCAGAGAAAGUUGGUGGAGGCUGGUGAGGCAGAAAGAUACAGGACCUACCUGAAGAGCCAGUGCAUGGAAUCACUCCUCAGACACUUG